UACGGAAGGCAGCAGUGGGGAAUAUUGGACAAUGGGCGAAAGCCUGAUCCAGCCAUGCCGCAUGAGUGAAGAAGGCCUUCGGGUUGUAAAGCUCUUUUAGUGAGAAAGAUAAUGACGGUACUCACAGAAGAAGUCCUGGCUAACUCCGUGCCAGCGGCCGCGGUAAUACGGAGAGGGCUAGCGUUAUUCGGAAUUAUUGGGCGUAAAGAGCGCGUAGGCUGAUUAGUAAGUUAAAAGUGAAAUCCCAAAGCUUAACUUUGGAAUUGCUUUUUAAAACUGCUAGUCUAGAGAUUUGAAAGAGGAUAGAGGAAUUCCUAGUGUAGAGGUGAAAUUCGUAAAUAUUAGGAGGAACACCAGUGGCGAAGGCGUCUAUCUGGUUCAAAUCUGACGCUGAGGCGCGAAGGGCGUGGGGAGCAAACAGGGAUUAGAUACC
rnacentral:rRNA from 1 species